rnacentral:rRNA from 1 species
AUAUCAAUAAGCGGAGGAAAAGAAACCAACCGGGAUUGCCUCAGUAACGGCGAGUGAAGCGGCAAGAGCUCAAAUUUGAAAGCUGGCUCCUCCGGGGUCCGCAUUGUAAUUUGGAGAGGAUGCUUCGGGUGCGGCCCCCGUCUAAGUGCUCUGGAACGGGCCGUCGGAGAGGGUGAGAAUCCCGUCUGGGGCGGGGAGCCCCGUGCCCGUGUGAAGCUCCUUCAACGAGUCGAGUUGUUUGGGAAUGCAGCUCUAAAUGGGUGGUAAAUUUCAUCUAAAGCUAAAUACAGGCCGGAGACCGAUAGCGCACAAGUAGAGUGAUCGAAAGAUGAAAAGCACUUUGAAAAGAGAGUUAAACAGCACGUGAAAUUGUUGAAAGGGAAGCGCUUGCAAUCAGACUCGCCCGCGGGGUUCAGCCGGCAUUCGUGCCGGUGUACUUCCCCGUGGGCGGGCCAGCGUCGGUUCGGACGGCCGGUCAAAGGCCCCCGGAAUGUAGCGCCCCCCGGGGCGUCUUAUAGCCGGGGGUGCCAUGCGGCCAGUCUGGACCGAGGAACGCGCUUCGGCACGGACGCUGGCGUAAUGGUUGCAAGCGAC